UCCUCGUUAGUAUAGUGGACAGUAUCUCCGCCUGUCACGCGGAAGACCAGGGUUCGAUUCCCCGAAGGGGAG
rnacentral:tRNA from 1 species